CCACCUCGUACAUCUCAUCCUGUAGUGAAGUUUUCCUGUACAGACUGUGAACCAAUGGUUAUUGAUAAACUUCCUUUUGACAAAUAUGAGUUGGAACCUUCACCACUGACUCAAUUUAUCCUGGAAAGGAAAUCUCCUCAAACAUGUUGGCAGGUGAGCUGAACAACUUACAGUGACCCCAAAAUUUAAAUGAGGUGUUUCUUAAAAAGCUGAAUUGAAUCAAUGGUUUAUGUAACAUUCUUUAAAGGUUAUUAAAGUUUUAACUCCUCCUUUUUAACAGGUGUACGUGAGCAAUAGUGCAAAAUACAGUGAACUUGGUCAUCCUUUUGGUUACUUGAAAGCCAGUACAGCACUGAACUGUGUCAACUUAUUUGUGAUGCCUUACAAUUAUCCAGUCCUUCUUCCCCUCUUAGAUGACUUGUUUAAAGUGCAUAAAGCAAAACCAACAUUGAAGUGGAGACAGUCAUUUGAAAGUUAUUUGAAGACAAUGCCUCCCUACUAUCUCGGGCCCUUGAAGAAAGCUGUUAGGAUGAUGGGAGCACCUAACCUAAUAGCAGACAGUAUGGAAUAUG
rnacentral:sRNA from 1 species